rnacentral:rRNA from 1 species
ACCCGCUGAACUUAAGCAUAUCAAUAAGCGGAGGAAAAGAAACCAACAGGGAUUACCUCAGUAACGGCGAGUGAAGCGGUAACAGCUCAAAUUUGAAAUCUGGCCUCACGGUCCGAGUUGUAAUUUGUAGAGGAUGCUUCGAGCAUGGUCUGGCCUAAGUUCCUUGGAACAGGACGUCAUAGAGGGUGAGAAUCCCGUAUGCGGCCAGGUGCCUACGCUCAUGUGAAGCUCCUUCGACGAGUCGAGUUGUUUGGGAAUGCAGCUCAAAAUGGGUGGUAAAUUUCAUCUAAAGCUAAAUAUUGGCCAGAGACCGAUAGCGCACAAGUAGAGUGAUCGAAAGAUGAAAAGCACUUUGGAAAGAGAGUUAAACAGUACGUGAAAUUGUUGAAAGGGAAGCGCUUGCAACCAGACUUGCGCGCGGCCGAUCAUCCGGUGUUCUCACCGGUGCACUCGGCCGUGCUCAGGCCAGCAUCGGUUUUGGCGGCUGGAUAAAGGCCCUAGGAAUGUAGCUCCUCUCGGGGAGUGUUAUAGCCUAGGGUGCAAUGCAGCCUGCUGGGACCGAGGACCGCGCUUCGGCUAGGAUGCUGGCGUAAUGGUUGU